rnacentral:rRNA from 1 species
AUUGAACGCUGGCGGCAGGCUUAACACAUGCAAGUCGAGCGAGCGGCGGACGGGUGCGUAAUGUCUGGGAAACUGCCUGAUGGAGGGGGAUAACUACUGGAAACGGUAGCUAAUACCGCAUACCAUCAGAUGUGCCCAGCUGGGAUUAGCUAGUAGGUGGGGUAAUGGCUCACCUAGGCGACGAUCCCUAGCUGGUCUGAGAGGAUGACCAGCAACACGGGAACUGAGACACGGUACAGACUCCUACGGGAGGCAGAAGUGGGGAAUAGUGCACAAGGGGCGCAAGCCUGAUGCAGCCAUGCCGCGUGUAUGAAGAAGGCCUUCGGGUUGUAAAGGACUUUCAGCGGGGAGGAGUUACUCGCAGAAGAAGCACCGGCUAACUCCGUGCCAGCAGCCGCGGUAAUUC